AGGUGGCGAUGGUGGCGGCGGUAGUAGUGAAGUAGGUGGUGUUAAAAUUGAGAAAUCACAAGGCCUACAAAUAUUACCAUUGCCAAAACAGAGAUUUUGUGACUGCGGAUAUAUACCACAACUACAAUUACUUUGUACACAUGGACCUGGAAGAAUCAUGGGUAAAGGAAGGGCAAACCCUUGAGGAACCAUUUUACUAGUCCAACCAGGCCCCCAACACACCACUGAAAAAUUGCUUGUGGUUAAUCCACACGUAAAAUCUAACCCAGCUGAAACUGAUUCAAAAAAAUAUCCUUCUGUUAUAUUACUUGAAAAUGUACCAUUUCCGCCCCAACAAACUACCG
rnacentral:misc_RNA from 1 species